rnacentral:rRNA from 1 species
GAUGAACGCUGGCGGCGUGCCUCAAACAUGCAAGUCGAGCGGGGCUAUGUAAUAUCGCAAGGUAGAACAUAGCCUAGCGGCGAACGGGUGAGUAACACGUGGGUAACCUGCCUGGAAGACAGGGAUAACGAUUCGAAAGGGUCGCUAAUACCUGAUAAUAUCCUUUCAUCGCAUGGUGAUAGGAAGAAAGGGGAAACCCGCUUUCAGAUGGGCCCGCGUCCCAUCAGCUAGUUGGUAAGGUAAAGGCUUACCAAGGCGACGACGGGUAGCCGGUCUGAGAGGAUGUACGGCCACACUGGGACUGAGAUACGGCCCAGACUCCUACGGGAGGCAGCAGUUGGGAAUCUUAGGCAAUGGACGAAAGUCUGACCUAGCGACGCCGCGUGAACGAGGGAGCCCUUCGGGGUGUAAAGUUCUUUUCUAUACGAGCAGUGCUAUAUAUAUGGAUAGUAUAUAUAGAGGGAUAGUAGUAUAGGAAUAAGCAACGGCUAACUCCGUGG